UACGUAGGGGCAAGCGUUGUCCGGAAUCAUUGGGCGUAAAGCGCGUGUAGGCGGCUGGCUAAGUCCGCUCUGAAAGCCCGGGGCUCAACCCCGGGAGGCGGGUGGAUACUGGUCAGCUCGAGUCCGGAAGAGGAGUGUGGAAUUCCUGGUGUAGCGGUGAAAUGCGCAGAUAUCAGGAGGAACACCGGUGGCGAAGGCGGGUCUCUGGGCCGAUACUGACGCUGAGGAGCGAAAGCGUGGGGAGCGAACAGG
rnacentral:rRNA from 1 species